rnacentral:rRNA from 1 species
UACGUAGGGGGCGAGCGUUGUCCGGAAUUAUUGGGCGUAAAGGGUGUGUAGGCGGCUUUGCAAGUCAGAUGUGAAAUGCCACGGCUUAACCGUGGAACUGCAUUUGAAACUGCAGGGCUUGAGUUCGGAAGAGGAAAACGGAAUUCCUAGUGUAGCGGUGAAAUGCGUAGAUAUUAGGAGGAACACCGGUGGCGAAGGCGGUUUCGUGGGCCGACACGUUGGACGCUGAGGCACGAAAGCGUGGGGAGCGAACGAG